UGGUUAAUAACUACUCAAAUCUAUAUCGAGAUAUAUAUUAUGUACACAUACAAAGCUUUAGCCAUGUUCGAUAAGGUGAUUUUAGAUUCAGCCAUGAAGGUGGAAAGCAUAUCAUAAAAAUAAUUAGGACCGCAACCAGAAUCUCCUUUCAUUUCAUAUGUUGCAACAAGAAAGUGAUCUACCAUAUCCUUAAAAAAAAAUCGAAUGCAAAUCAAUCAAUGACAUCAAUAUAUAUACAUGAUCGGUAAACAAAUAAGAGAAAAAUAGUUCAGAUGUUAAGCACUAAACCUCUUGUUCCAUCGAGUGGAUCAUAUGGAGGAGCGAUGUGCUUUGAUCCUCCUAUUCAAAAUGAUUGGAUAAGAGUUGUAACAACCCAUGCCUGCAUAGGGAGUCUGGGUACCAUAAGAACUUAUAUUCCCAGUGUAAAAAAUACAUAACCUUCUAUCUCCAAAUAAAAAUAAGUACAUCCAAGAGCAGUGUUCACAUCCCUUGCCAUGAGGGUUAACCAUUACAUCUAUCUAAAAUCAAGAAAACAUCUAAUUAAAGUUCGUGUAAUUCAUUCUUUCCUACACGUGCAUCACAGAGAACACUAUCUCUGCUCACCAAGAUUGGCUCCCAUAGCUUUUUUGUUCCAUUGUUAUUCCCAUUCCUAUUUCCAAACAACAUUACUUUCACCCUCACAGAGAACACUGUCUCUGCUCACCUAGAUU
rnacentral:lncRNA from 1 species